GUGCGCGUAACCGCCAAUUUUCAGUGCGUAUUAAUUAGCAGUUUUCACAAGGAAAAUCGACGAUUUAAGCAUUGAAAGUGAUUGUGUUUUGCGUAUAACCUGCAUCAAGCAAGUGCAGCGCGCGUCCAGCUGAUCACCAAAAAUCGUGCAUAUUGCAGCGCCAACCGGUCCGUUUGAUGCGUUCGAACAGCGCGACUCAUUGUGCUAAGUACGUUCAGGCUGCAGCGCGCAGGUGUGCGAGCAGGAACGACGAUCAAAGAAGCGCUGGGUUUUGGCUUGGUGGGGCCCCGCAGGCCGAAGGUGCGCUACCGCCGUUACGCUCGCCGGUGCCGUACUCGUCUCUGCAUCGCCGCAUCCGUCCGAGCAUCGCAGGUAACGCCGCG